AGCGAACGCUGGCGGCAGGCCUAACACAUGCAAGUCGAACGAACUCUUCGGAGUUAGUGGCGGACGGGUGAGUAACACGUGGGAACGUGCCUUUUGGUUCGGAAUAACUCAGGGAAACUUGUGCUAAUACCGAAUGUGCCCUUCGGGGGAAAGAUUUAUCGCCAUUAGAGCGGCCCGCGUCUGAUUAGCUAGUUGGUGAGGUAACGGCUCACCAAGGCGACGAUCAGUAGCUGGUCUGAGAGGAUGACCAGCCACACUGGGACAGAGACACGGCCCAGACUCCUACGGGAGGCAGCAGUGGGGAAUCUUGCGCAAUGGGCGAAAGCCUGACGCAGCCAUGCCGCGUGAAUGAUGAAGGUCUUAGGAUUGUAAAAUUCUUUCACCGGGGACGAUAAUGACGGUACCCGGAGAAGAAGCCCCGGCUAACUUCGUG
rnacentral:rRNA from 1 species